CUGUAUUCCAAUAAAAUGAAAAAGCAAGACACAGACACACCCACACGCACACACACACACACGCGCGCGCGCGCGCGCGCAC
rnacentral:lncRNA from 1 species